AUGGCAGAAGAGGAAAGAAGGGAUAUCCUUGAGUACAAGAGGGGUGAGUUAGAGAAGGAAGAUGACAAGGAGGACAUUCUCCCACCUGAUAAAAGUAUCCGAAGGAGAGCUGUGGGCUGGGUGAAUAAGAAGUGGGAGAAGAGGAACCUCAGAAAGAUAGAGAGAACGUAUCAGAGAGAGGCUGAGGAGGGCUAUAAGAUCGUCCACAUAGUCAUCCCUGGACCCAUAAGGCUAACCAUGACCCGGGCAGAGAGAGAGAGGAAGGAGCUCCUGAAGACUGAGGAGAGAAGGAAUAAGAUGGAUGAUUGCAGUGGAGAGAGCAGUCCCUGCUUAAUAAACGGACUCAUCAGAAACUUAAAGAGAGGGAGAGGAUGAAGGAACAGUACCUAAAAAAACAAGCAAGAGAUUUAAGAUGGGGUAAAGAAUGUUUAAAAAUGUAUUCAUGUUUUACACUGUUAUAUAUAUGUUAUAUAGCAUUCCUGCUGUCUGUUGAGAGCUGGAACUCGACGAAGCCACAGUACCACUGAGGACCACUUCUCUACUCAAUCUUUACUAAUGAUUUACCUUCAGUAAUGAACAAAGCAAGAGUGGUCAUGUAUGCUGAUGAUUCUGCAAUGUAUAGUGCAGCAUCAGAAUGUAAUGAGCUAACAAAUGUACUGAGCAGUGUCCGGUUAUAUGGUCAAUCCCUGGUCCUAUCACACUUAGAGUACUGUCCGGUUAUAUGGUCAAUCCCUGGUCCUAUCACACUUAGAGUACUGUCCGGUUAUAUGGUCAAUCCCUGGUCCUAUCACACUUAGAGUACUGUCCAGUUAUAUGGUCAAUCCCUGGUCCUAUCACACUUAGAGUACUGUCCGGUUAUAUGGUCAAUCCCUGGUCCUAUCACACUUAGAGUACUGUCCAGUUAUAUGGUCAAUCCCUGGUCCUAUCACACUUAGAGUACUGUCCAGUUAUAUGGUCAAUCCCUGGUCCUAUCACACUUAGAGUACUGUCCGGUUAUAUGGUCAAUCCCUGGUCCUAUCACACUUAGAGUACUGUCCAGUUAUAUGGUCAAUCCCUGGUCCUAUCACACUUAGAGUACUGUCCAGUUAUAUGGUCAAUCCCUGGUCCUAUCACACUUAGAGUACUGUCCAGUUAUAUGGUCAAUCCCUGGUCCUAUCACACUUAGAGUACUGUCCAGUUAUAUGGUCAAUCCCUGGUCCUAUCACACUUAGAGUACUGUCCAGUUAUAUGGUCAAUCCCUGGUCCUAUCACACUUAGAGUACUGUCCAGUUAUAUGGUCAAUCCCUGGUCCUAUCACACUUAGAGUACUGUCCAGUUAUAUGGUCAAUCCCUGGUCCUAUCACACUUAGAGUACUGUCCGGUUAUAUGGUCAAUCCCUGGUCCUAUCACACUUAGAGUACUGUCCAGUUAUAUGGUCAAUCCCUGGUCCUAUCACACUUAGAGUACUGUCUGGUUAUAUGGUCAAUCCCUGGUCCUAUCACACUUAGAGUACUGUCUGGUUAUAUGGUCAAUCCCUGGUCCUAUCACACUUAGAGUACUGUCCAGUUAUAUGGUCAUCUGCAGCAAAGAAAUAUAUAAAAAAAAAUAUCUUCAUUGCUCUAACCAGGGCUGGUAGAUUAGCUCUUCAUUGCUCUAACCAGGGCUGGUAGAUUAGCUCUUCAUUGCUCUAAACAGGGCUGGUAGAUUAGCUCUUCAUUGCUCUAACCAGGGCUGGUAGAUUAGCUCUUCAUUGCUCUAACCAGGGCUGGUAGAUUAGCUCUUCAUUGCUCUAAACAGGGCUGGUAGAUUAGCUCUUCAUUGCUCUAACCAGGGCUGGUAGAUUAGCUCUUCAUUGCUCUAACCAGGGCUGGUAGAUUAGCUCUUCAUUGCUCUAACCAGGGCUGGUAGAUUAGC
ensembl:lncRNA